UACAGAGGUCUCAAGCGUUGUUCGGAUUCAUUGGGCGUAAGGGGCGCGUAGGCUGCGGGGCAAGUCGGGUGUGAAAUCUCAGAGCUCAACUCUGAAACUGCACUCGAUACUGCUUUGCUUGAGGACUGGAGAGGAGAUUGGAAUUCACGGUGUAGCAGUGAAAUGCGUAGAUAUCGUGAGGAAGACCAGUGGCGAAGGCGGGUCUCUGGACAGUUCCUGACGCUGAGGCACGAAGGCCAGGGGAGCAAACGGG
rnacentral:rRNA from 1 species